UACAGAGGUCUCGAGCGUUUGUUCGGAUUCAUUGGGCGUAAAGGGUGCGUAGGCGGCGUGGCAAGUCUGAUGUGAAAUCCCGGGGCUCAACCCCGGAACUGCAUUGGAUACUGCCAUGCUAGAGUACUGGAGAGGAGAUUGGAAUUUACGGUGUAGCAGUGAAAUGCGUAGAUAUCGUAAGGAAGACCAGUGGCGAAGGCGAAUCUCUGGACAGUUACUGACGCUGAGGCACGAAGGCCAGGGGAGCAAACGGG
rnacentral:rRNA from 1 species